rnacentral:tRNA from 1 species
GCCUCGGUGGCUCAGGUGGAUAGAGCGUCUGCCAUGUAAACAGGAGGUCCCGGGUUCGAGUCCCGUUCGGGGCA